rnacentral:rRNA from 1 species
UACAGAGGUCCCAAGCGUUGUUCGGAUUCACUGGGCGUAAAGGGUGCGUAGGCGGCUUGACAAGUCUGAUGUGAAAUCCCGCAGCUUAACUGCGGAACUGCAUUGGAAACUGUUUGACUAGAGGAAUGGAGGGGAGACUGGAAUACUUGGUGUAGCAGUGAAAUGCGUAGAUAUCAAGUGGAACACCAGUGGCGAAGGCGGUUCUCUGGGCCUUACCUGACGCUGAGGAGCGAAAGCGUGGGGAGCAAACAGG